rnacentral:rRNA from 1 species
GUAGGUGGCAAGCGUUGUCCGGAAUUAUUGGGCGUAAAGCGCGCGCAGGUGGUUCUUUAAGUCUGAUGUGAAAGCCCCCGGGCUCAACCGGGGAGGGUCAUUGGAAACUAGGGAACUUGAGUGCAGGAGAGGAAAGUGGAAUUCCACGUGUAGCGGUGAAAUGCGUAGAUAUGUGGAGGAACACCAGUGGCGAAGGCGACUUUCUGGCCUGUAACUGACACUGAGGCGCGAAAGCGUGGGGAGCAAACAGGAUUAGAUACCCUGGUAGUCCACGCCGUAAACGAUGAGUGCUAAGUGUUGGGGGGUUUCCGCCCCUCAGUGCUGCAGCUAACGCAUUAAGCACUCCGCCUGGGGAGUACGGUCGCAAAGACUG